UACGGAGGGUGCAACCGUUGCUCGGAAUUAUUGGGCGUAAAGCGCACGUAGGCGGACUGUUAAGUCGGAUGUGAAAGCCCUCGGCUUAACUGAGGAAGUGCAUUCGAAACUAGCAGUCUUGAGUAUGGAAGAGGCGAGUGGAACUCCUGGUGUAGCGGUGGAAUGCGCAGAUAUCAGGAAGAACACCAACGGCGAAGGCAGCUCGCUGGGACGGAACUGACGCUAAGGCGCGAAAGCGUGGGGAGCGAACAGG
rnacentral:rRNA from 1 species